CUACGGGGGGCACCAGUGAGGAAUAUUGGUCAAUGGGCGCGAGCCUGAACCAGCCAUCCCGCGUGCAGGAUGACGGCCCUAUGGGUUGUAAACAGCUUUUCUAUGCCAAGAAACCCUGUUACGAGUAACAGGUUGCCGGUAGCAUAGGAAUAAGCAUCGGCUAACUCCGUGCCAGCAGCCGCGGUAAUACGGAGGAUGCAAGCGUUAUCCGGAUUCAUUGGGUUUAAAGGGUGCGCAGGUGGGCUUGUAAGUCAGUGGUGAAAUGCUGCCGCUUAACGGUAGAACUGCCAUUGAUACUGCGAGUCUUGAGUAUGGUUGAGGUAGGCGGAAUGUGUUGUGUAGCGGUGAAAUGCAUAGAUAUGACACAGAACGCCAAUUGCGAAGGCAGCUUACUAAGCCAUUACUGACGCUGAGGCACGAAAGCGUGGGGAGCGAACAGGAUUAGAUACCCGGGUAGUC
rnacentral:rRNA from 1 species